rnacentral:rRNA from 1 species
GCGCGAAAACUUUACAAUGCUGGCAACAGCGAUAAGGGAACCUCGAGUGCCAGGUUACAAAUCUGGCUGUCGAGAUGCCUAAAAAGCAUUUCAUAGCAAGGGCCGGGCAAGACCGGUGCCAGCCGCCGCGGUAACACCGGCGGCUCGAGGGGUAACCGAUAUUAUUGGGUCUAAAGGGUCUGUAGCCGGCCGGAUAAGUCUCUUGAGAAAUCUGGCAGCUUAACUGUCAGGCUUUCAGGAGAUACUGUCUGGCUCGAGGCCGGGAGAGGUGAGAGGUACUUCAGGGGUAGGGGUGAAAUCUUGUAAUCCUUGAAGGACCACCAAUGGCGAAGGCGUCUCACCAGAACGGACCUGACGGCAAGGGACGAAAGCUAGGGGCAC